AUUAUACUCCCUCCGUCCAAAAACACUUGUCAUCAAAAUGGACAAAACUGGAUGUAUCUAAAACUAAAAUACAUCUAGAUACAUCCCUUUUAUCCAUUUUGAUGACACGUAUUUUUGGACGGAGGGAGUAUAUA
rfam:Triticum urartu cultivar G1812 contig306338, whole genome shotgun sequence.